UGUUGGUUAUAAAAUUUAUUGAUCUCUCAUUUAGGAAGUAAGAGUAAAAGCUUGAAACACCUGAAACAAAGUAGCCCCUCCCCACUACCCAAACGAAAUCUGAACACAUUAGCGCGACGAAAUAUCAAACAGAUCACGGCAGAAAUCACCAACUCAACAUGACUGGACAGAAGCUGUCCCGCGGCCAGGGGCGGCGAGGCGGGAGACACACGCACACCUGGCUAUAAAUUAACAUUGGCUUUAGCUGCCGCGCCGCUUGGAGCGGUCAGCGCCCCCAAAAAACCACGAGAAAAACACGCGACACGACUGGGGGCGUAGGCGUUGCAGUUCUCCAACUAGCCUCACCCGAUACUAUGUUUCUCCCAUUCACUCCUUGGCUAACUGCAAACUAACAAGACAACAUUUUCAAAUGUAACAGAAUAACCCAGGAACUCAGGAGGAGGAGUGGGGGUGGGGGGGGCUGUUUUUUCUUUGCAAAUAACACAGCAAUUCCCAGUCUACAAAGGUGAAAGAAGGAGCAGCGGCGUGGGACAAGAGAGCUCUCUAGAAGUCCCAUUUUCGCUGCUCCUGACUUAUUUUUGCUUUUGUACAAAACCCGACAGCUACAGCAAAACUUUCAGUCCUCCCCGUCAUCGGUACAAGGCAACAGUCCCAGGCAAGCAAAGCUAAACAAGGCGUCCCAGCUUGGGGUGCGGGGCGGGAGGUGGGGGUGGGGGUGGGGUGGGGAACAAGGGUGGACAAGCGCAAGCCGGUGCUCAGAUGUGGGUCAGCGGCACCGUUCCGUUGACUGCAGUCCCGGCGCCCUGGUAGUGCUGGUGCACGCCGUGCAGGCGACCGCCGGGCAGCGGAGAGGCGGCGUCGGCCGCGUCCCCGCCGGGUGGCAGGAGAAGAUGCCCUAAUCUGUGGCAGGAUGGGGCAGGAGGAAAGCCUCUGGGACUGGAAGAGUAGAGGGAUCAAAAAGUUACCUGGAGCGGUCAACCGUCUCUAGCUACCUGCUCUCAUCCUGGGUGAGCUCUGUGGGAAUUUCAGGAGCGGGAGGAAUUCAUGGGUGCUUUGGGUUUCAGAAUGAGCAGAGUAGUGGAUACUCAUCUGCAUUAGAGCUUCUUAAACCUUCUGCUGCCAUCUUGGGUUUGUCU
rnacentral:lncRNA from 1 species